GGUGGUUCUCGGGUAACACAACCCGGAAUCGUGCUCCCUCCUCUAUGGUUCCUGGUGCAUCACCAAAGAACCACA
rfam:Myotis lucifugus cont2.505, whole genome shotgun sequence.